GAGGGUAUAGGUCAGUGGUAGAGCACAUGAUUGGCAUGCAUGAGGUCCUGGGUUCAAUCCCCAGUGCCUCUG
rnacentral:tRNA from 1 species